AACGAACGCUGGCGGCAGGCCUAACACAUGCAAGUCGAACGCCCUAGCAAUAGGGAGUGGCGCACGGGUGCGUAACGCGUGGGAAUAUGCCCUUGACUGCGGGACAACAUCGGGAAACUGAUGCUAAUACCGCAUAAUGACUCCGGUCCAAAGAUUUAUCGGUCAAGGAUUAGCCCGCGUCUGAUUAGCUAGUUGGUGAGGUAAUGGCUCACCAAGGCGACGAUCAGUAGCUGGUCUGAGAGGAUGAUCAGCCACACUGGGACUGAGACACGGCCCAGACUGCUACGGGAGGAAGCAGUGAGGAAUAUUGGACAAUGGGCGCAAGCCUGAUCCAGCCAUGCCGCGUGAGUGACGAAGGCCUUCGGGUUGUAAAGCUCUUUCAGAUGCGAAGAUAAUGACGGUAACAUCAGAAGAAGCCCCGGCUAAAUUCGUGCCAGCAGCCGCCGCAG
rnacentral:rRNA from 1 species